AGUGAACGCUGGCGGUAGGCCUAACACAUGCAAGUCGAACGGCAGCACAGUAAGAGCUUGCUCUUACGGGUGGCGAGUGGCGGACGGGUGAGGAAUACAUCGGAAUCUACUUUUUCGUGGGGGAUAACGUAGGGAAACUUACGCUAAUACCGCAUACGACCUACGGGUGAAAGCAGGGGAUCUUCGGACCUUGCGCGAUUGAAUGAGCCGAUGUCGGAUUAGCUAGUUGGCGGGGUAAAGGCCCACCAAGGCGACGAUCCGUAGCUGGUCUGAGAGGAUGAUCAGCCACACUGGAACUGAGACCCGGUCCAGACUCCUACGGGAGGCAGCAGCGGGGAAUAUUGGACAAUGGGCGCAAGCCUGAUCCAGCCAUACCGCGUGGGUGAAGAAGGCCUUCGGGUUGUAAAGCCCUUUUGUUGGGAAAGAAAAGCAGCAGGUUAAUACCCCGCUGUUCUGACGGUACCCAAAGAAUAAGCACCGGCUAACUUCGUG
rnacentral:rRNA from 1 species